rnacentral:rRNA from 1 species
UACAGAGGUCUCAAGCGUUGUUCGGAUUCAUUGGGCGUAAAGGGUGCGUAGGUGGCGGGGUAAGUCAGGUGUGAAAUCUCGGGGCUCAACCCCGAAACUGCAUUUGAUACUGCCUUGCUCGAGUACUGGAGAGGAGAUUGGAAUUUACGGUGUAGCAGUGAAAUGCGUAGAUAUCGUAAGGAACACCGAUAGCGGAGGCAGGUUACCAUGUGAUUAUUGACGCUGAGGCACGAAAGUGUGGGGAUCAAACAGG